UCAACUUAUAUUUUCUAACAAUAAAAUAGCAGACCUUUGCAUCAGGACACUUCAGCUUGUGAUUAAAAAACUAUAUUAAGUGAUUUGUGAAUUAUAUAAAAGAACUUGUAAUCAAAUUUAAUGAUACUGAAAAUGCCAAAAAUAAAAAAGAUUGGUCUUAAUACCAUUUCUGCUCUGUAUUUUCAGUCAUAUCCUGUCAAGUAUCCGGUCAAGUCAUCCUUAAAAUACAGGCUGUAUUCCCCAACUGCAAUGACGAAUGCAUUUAGAGCUGUCAAGGAACAGCAGAUGUCAGUGUGUAGGGCAUCCAUUCAAUUUGGUGUGCCAACUACUUCACUUAGACAGAGGGUAAGGGGAAGAGUUGAUCCAGAAGUGAUUUCAUCAGUACCCUCUCCCGUUCUGUCCCAAGAAGAAGAAGCCAUGUUUGUUGACCUUUUAAAGUUUAUGGCUAGUGUAGGUUAUGGCUACACUCGGAUGGAAGUUGUGAACAUGGCGUCAGAAUAUGCGGUUUGCCUACACAAACGCGACAAAGAACAUCCCUUCUCCAUGAAGUGGUUUGAAAGUUUUAUGAAACGGUGGCCAGAACUUAACGUUUCGAAACCAAGAGCUUUGUCGUUGGCUAGGGCUAAAGCAACCAGCCAAGAGGUAGUGACCACCUAUUUCAAAGAACUCGAAAAUGUUCUACAUAAACACAGUUUGAUGGACAAACCACAACAUAUUUAUAAUGUUGAUGAGAAAGGCCUACAAACAGAACAUUCUCCACCAUUCGUAGUUGGCUGCAGGGAAACCACAACACCAGCUAUAACAUCAGCUAGAACAGCUACUACCACUGUUAUUGGGUGUGGGAAUGCUUUGGGAGCACAAAUACCACCAUAUUUUGUAUUCAAAGGGGAACGCAUGAGGGAGGAACUGCUGGAAGGACGAACACCUGGAGCUGAAGGUACAGUUACUCCCACAGGAUGGUCAAACAGAGAAGUGUUUGAAAGUUACCUUCAAAACCACUUUCUCAAAUAUGUGCAGGGAAGAGACAAGGACCAACCAAUAUUGGUAUUGUAUGAUGGCCACAAGUCCCACAUCUCUUUGCCUUUGAUAAACUGGGCAAAAGAGCAUAACAUCAUAUUGUUUGUACUGCCAGCCCACACCAGCCAUAUUUUACAGCCCCUGGAUGUUGGUUGUUUCGGCCCUUACCAGCGAAUUUUCAACUCUGAAUGCCACAAGUUCAUGCGUCACAAUCCUUCGUCCAGAAUUACGAGGUACAACAUCUGCUCUCUGGCAUGUAAGGCAUAUACUCAUACUUUGUCCCCUGAUAACCUCAAGUCAGCAUUUCAGAAAUCAGGUAUUUUCCCAUUCAAUCCCACUGCAGUAGAUUCUGCCCAGUUCAAACCAGCAACAGUAUAUAAAUCUAAAGGUCCAUCUCCAUGUAAUGCAGAGCCCAUAGAGUUGCAUGAUGUACAGGAAUUGACUGUCAAUGGCUCAGAUACAUGUCAACAUGAUUUUUUUAUGAAGAAAAUGGACUGCAUUUAAAUGAAAUCAGUGGACAGUAUUAAACAGAGGAGAGAUCUAAGUACAAUUGUUGGUGGAAAGGCCAUCACUGAAGAAAUCACUGUCAAAAAAAUUGAGGACCACCACAAAAAUGUCAAUUUAAGUACAGAUCAGGCAAAAAUUGUGAAAAAAAAAACCAACAAUAAAAAAAAGAGAAAAGUAUCUGCUACAAUAACAGAAAAACUGUAUAAAAUACCGAAAGUGUCCAAACUGCAGGAUAAUCCCAACCCAGGCCCAUCUGGACUUCAAAUCCUUCCAGUCUCCGACUGCAGUGAUUUUAGUUUAACUGAUGAUGAGGAUGAUGAAAAGUGUUGUGUUUGUGGAAGGUUCCAGCCUAUCGAAUUGACCAAUUGUGUGUCACUCAUAUUUACAAAAUGGGCACAGUGUGAUGUAGAGAAAUGUGGUCACUGGACACAUUUACAGUUUUGUUGUCCGCAAAGAGUUGUGAGAAGAGGUGAUCGCUUCUGCUGUCCAUUCACAUGGCAGUGGAAGAGUAGCUGUCUUUAAUUCCAACUAUUUCUUUGAUGCUGUUUUUCUUUAAGUUAUAUGUAUUUCUGCUUUUUGUUGAAGAUCUCACAACCAGAUCAUCAUGUAUUAUAUCCAUUGUCUAUAUAGUUGCUAAUAUUAUUUACACCCUGCUGUUAUUCUGAAUACAGACAUUCCAUGACUGUAUAAACUGUUAAAUUGUUGCUGAUAUGAACAAAAAAAUACAUCAAAGCCGGUUUAAGAACUUUUCAAUAGGCUUGUUAGUCAUUCCUGAUUUUUUAUAUAAGUUUUGGAACAACCCCCGUCGAAAUAUUGAGGUCUGGGGUCAAUCGACCGAAACAGGUGACGCAGUACACAACUUUCCUCGUAUGCUGUCAUGGCCGAAUCUCGGUGUUACGGAAAAAAGGGGAAGCAAUUGAUCGAUAUCGAUACACGAAUUAAUGGAGAUUGAAUAAGUCUUCCUAAACAGUUGCGGAUUUUCAGAACGUCACUGGUAUCAGUAUAGAAGUACAUGUAAAAUGGUUUCGAGAGCGAUUUGGUUCUAUGGCACGAUACAAACUGAAAUUUGAUGACAUGGACCGACAGAUGAUAGCUGAGCGUGGCAUACAGUUAACAGGGCACGAUCUUGAUGAAAUAGAAACAAUCGUUUCCAAUUCGAAACUUGUUCGGUAUCUGCAUUUAUUUGACAAUUUUGGACUGGUAACGAUGUUUAUUUGGUUCCUCCUCAUUCUUUGUUGCGCGUUUACCAACCUAGUUUUACUUUUGGCCUUACUGGAAAGAUCGAAGAAAGAAAGUGAACAGAAUGGUAACAUAAUCGUCAUGCUUAUGUUCUUCGAAGUGAUUAUUGUUGUGACUAUUUUCUUGGGAUUCUGUUGCUGUCACAAGUCCGUCUGUACAAAGAAGAAACCCUUCACAUACGAUCAACAGAUUUGGGAGACAUUACAUCUCGAAAAGAAAUUAGCCAUCUUUAAUGUUGGCGCAAGGGAAAGGCAACUUAUAGUGUUUUAUGUUCCUGCUUCACGCAGCUUAAUGCUGAUGCGAUAUGACUUCAAGCCGUGUCAAUCUUUCUUCACUAGGAGAUGCGAACGAAAGGAGAAUCUUCGAAAGUUCCAAAUGCCCGGGGAAUCCUUGAUAAAUUACACGAAUCGGCUAUUUGACAGUUUUCUGAGGUCGUAUGACGUUCACAUGCUGCGCCAUUCUUCUGCGCAACAGAAACGACACAAAAUGGCAAACGAGGCUAAAUGUAUUUGCCUUCUUGUUGAAGAAAUGAUUUGCUAGGACGUAGAUCCCAUGUCUCGUUUUAUGUUGUCAAUGGGUGGAAGACAUAAACGAACAAUUCUUCA